rnacentral:rRNA from 1 species
GAGUUUGAUCAUGGCUCAGGAUGAACGCUAGCGGCAGGCUUAACACAUGCAAGUCGAGGGGUAACAGGGUUUAGUUUACUAGACUGCUGACGACCGGCGCACGGGUGAGUAACGCGUAUACAAUUUACCUUAUACAGGAGGAUAGCCUUUAGAAAUGAAGAUUAAUACUCCAUGGUAUUAUGAAGUGGCAUCGCUUUAUAAUUAAAGAUUUAUUGGUAUAAGAUGAGUAUGCGUCCUAUUAGCUAGAUGGUAAGGUAAUGGCUUACCAUGGCGACGAUAGGUAGGGGUCCUGAGAGGGAGAUCCCCCACACUGGUACUGAGACACGGACCAGACUCCUACGGGAGGCAGCAGUGAGGAAUAUUGGGCAAUGGAGGCAACUCUGACCCAGCCAUGCCGCGUGCAGGAAGACUGCCCUAUGGGUUGUAAACUGCUUUUAUAGAGGAAGAAACCUUGGGACGUGUCCCGAGCUGACGGUACUCUACGAAUAAGCACCGGCUAACUCCGUGCCAGCAGCCGCGGUAAUACGGAGGGUGCAAGCGUUAUCCGGAAUCAUUGGGUUUAAAGGGUCCGUAGGCGGGCAAUUAAGUCAGAGGUGAAAUCCCACAGCUCAACUGUGGAACUGCCUUUGAUACUGGUUGUCUUGAGUUACAGUGAAGUAGAUAGAAUGUGUAGUGUAGCGGUGAAAUGCAUAGAUAUUACACAGAAUACCGAUUGCGUAGGCAGUCUACUAACUAUUGACUGACGCUAAUGGACGAAAGCGUGGGGAGCGGACAGGAUUAGAUACCCUGGUAGUCCACGCCGUAAACGAUGGAUACUAGUUGUUAGUUGUACAUUGGUAUGAUUAGUGAUUAAGCGAAAGCAAUAAGUAUCCCACCUGGGGAGUACGGU